AUACGUAGGUGGCAAGCGUUGUCCGGAAUUAUUGGGCGUAAAGCGCAUGUAGGCGGUAAUUUAAGUCUGUCGUGAAACUGCGGGGCUCAGCCCCGUAUGGCGAUGGAAACUGGGUUACUUGAGUGCAGGAGAGGAAAGGGGAACUCCCAGUGUAGCGGUGAAAUGCGUAGAUAUUGGGAAGAACACCGGUGGCGAAGGCGCCUUUCUGGACUGUGUCUGACGCUGAGAUGCGAAAGCCAGGGUAGCGAACGGGAUUAGAUACCCCGGUAGUCCUGGCCGUAAACGAUGGGUACUAGGUGUGGGAGGUAUCGACCCCUUCCGUGCCGGAGUUAACGCAAUAAGUACCCCGCCUGGGGAGUACGGCCGCAAGGCUUAAACUCAAAUGAAUUGACGGGG
rnacentral:rRNA from 1 species